rnacentral:rRNA from 1 species
GCCCAGCCCUAAACUUUGAUAAUUUAUUACACCCAUUAUCCGCCAGGGAACUACGAGCUCUUAGCUUAAAACCCAAAGGACUUGGCGGUGCUUAAGAUCCACCUAGAGGAGCCUGUUCUAGAACCGAUACCCCCCGUUCAACCUCACCCUCUCUUGUUUAUCCCGCCUAUAUACCGCCGUCGUCAGCCCACCCUGUGAGGGUCCAAUAGUGAGCAGGAUCGGUAGAACCCAAAACGCCAGGUCGAGGUGUAGCGUAUGAGAGGGGAAGAAAUGGGCUACAUUUCCUAACGCAGGAAAUACGAAUAAUGCACUGAAAUAAGCAUAUUGAAGGAGGAUUUAGCAGUAAAUGAAAAGCAGAGCGUUUCAUUGAAGUCGGCUCUAAAGCGCGC